rnacentral:rRNA from 1 species
AUUGAACGCUGGCGGCAGGCCUAACACAUGCAAGUCGAGCGAGCGGCGGCCGGGGGGGUAAUGUCUGGGAAACUGCCUGCUGGGGGGGGUUAACUAUUGGAAACGGUAGCUAUUACCCCAUACCACCGGAGGUGCCCGGUUGGGAUUAGCUAGUAGGUGGGGUAACGGCUCACCUAGGCGACGAUCCCUAGCUGGUCUGAGAGGAUGACCAGCCACACUGGAACUGAGACACGGUCCAGACUCCUACGGGAGGCAGCAGUGGGGAAUAUUGCACAAUGGGCGCAAGCCUGAUGCAGCCAUGUCGCGUGUGUGAAGAAGGCCUUCGGGUUGUAAAGCACUUUCAGCGGGGAGGCGUUACCCGCAGAAGAAGCACCGGCUAACUCCGUGCCAGCAGCCGCGGUAAUUC